GACGAACGCUGGCGGCGUGCUUAACACAUGCAAGUCGAACGGAAAGGCCCUGCUUUUGUGGGUUUCUCGAGUGGCGAACGUGUGUGUAACACGUGAGUAACCUGCCCUUUACUUUGUGAUAUCUUCAGGAAACUGGUGCUAAUACCUGAUAGGAGCUCCUGCUGCAUGUUGUGGGUUGGAAAUUUUCGGCGGUUGGGGAUGGACUCGCGGGUUAUCGGCUUGUUGGUGGGGUAGUGGCUUACCAAGGCUUUGACGGGUAGCAGGCAUGAGAGGGUGACCGGAAAAAUAGGGACUGAGAUACGGACCAGAGUGCUACGGGAGGCAGGAGGGGGGAAGAUUGCACAAUGGGCGGAAGCGUGAUGCAGCAAAGGCGCGUGCGGGAUGAGGGCGUAAGGGUUGUAAAAGGAAUUCGGAUGUGAAGAAGCGAGAGUGACGGUAAUGGGUAAAGAAGCACCGGCUAACUACGUG
rnacentral:rRNA from 1 species